AUUGAACGCUGGCGGCAUGCCUUACACAUGCAAGUCGAACGGCAGCACGGGAGCAAUCCUGGUGGCGAGUGGCGAACGGGUGAGUAAUGUAUCGGAACGUGCCCAUUCGUGGGGGAUAACGUAGCGAAAGCUACGCUAAUACCGCAUACGAUCUAUGGAUGAAAGCGGGGGAUCGCAAGACCUCGCGCGAUUGGAGCGGCCGAUAUCAGAUUAGGUAGUUGGUGGGGUAAAGGCUCACCAAGCCGACGAUCUGUAGCUGGUCUGAGAGGACGACCAGCCACACUGGGACUGAGACACGGCCCAGACUCCUACGAGAGGCAGCAGUGGGGAAUUUUGGACAAUGGGCGCAAGCCUGAUCCAGCAAUGCCGCGUGCAGGAUGAAGGCCUUCGGGUUGUAAACUGCUUUUGUACGGAACGAAACGGCGAGCUCUAAUACAGUUUGCCAAUGACGGUACCGUAAGAAUAAGCACCGGCUAACUACGUGCCAGCAGCCGCUGUAA
rnacentral:rRNA from 1 species